rnacentral:rRNA from 1 species
UACGUAGGGUGCAAGCGUUAAUCGGAAUUACUGGGCGUAAAGCGUGCGCAGGCGGUGAUGUAAGACAGUUGUGAAAUCCCCGAGCUCAACCUGGGAACUGCAUCUGUGACUGCAUCGCUGGAGUGCGGCAGAGGGGGAUGGAAUUCCGCGUGUAGCAGUGAAAUGCGUAGAUAUGCGGAGGAACACCGAUGGCGAAGGCAAUCCCCUGGGCCUGCACUGACGCUCAUGCACGAAAGCGUGGGGAGCAAACAGG